GACGAACGCUGGCGGCGUGCUUAACACAUGCAAGUCGAACGGUGACGAGGAGCUUGCUCCUCCGAUCAGUGGCGAACGGGUGAGUAACACGUGAGUAACCUGCCCCAGACUCUGGGAUAACAGUUGGAAACAGCUGCUAAUACCGGAUACGAGACGGAGAGGCAUCUCUACCGUCUGGAAAGUUUUUCGGUCUGGGAUGGACUCGCGGCCUAUCAGCUUGUUGGUGAGGUAAUGGCUCACCAAGGCGACGACGGGUAGCCGGCCUGAGAGGGCGACCGGCCACACUGGGACUGAGACACGGCCCAGACUCCUACGGGAGCAGCAGUGGGGAAUAUUGCGCAAUGGCGAAAGCCUGACGCAGCCACGCCGCGUGAGUGAUGAAGGCUUCGGGUCGUAAAACUCUG
rnacentral:rRNA from 1 species